GUAACAAGGUUUCCGUAGGUGAACCUGCGGAAGGAUCAUUGUCGAAACCUGCAAAGCAGAAAGACCAGCGGACCCAUUACAACACCCAGGGGUGACCCCAACCCCUGACGCUGAGUGUGUGCAGCCCUGCCUUGCGCCCUCAGCAUAAAACGAACCCAGGCGCGGAACGCGUCAAGGAAUCAUAACGAAACGAGCUCCUGCCGUGGCCCCGGGGACGGUGAUCGCCGCAGCAGCUGUGUUGUGCUUGGUUAAGUCUAAAAUGACUCUCGGCAACGGAUAUCUCGGCUCUCGCAUCGAUGAAGAACGUAGCGAAAUGCGAUACUUGGUGUGAAUUGCAGAAUCCCGUGAACCAUCGAGUCUUUGAACGCAAGUUGCGCCUGAAGCCAUCAGGCUGAGGGCACGUCUGCCUGGGCGUCAAACACCGAUGCCCCCCCAAAUCCCCUCGUCACUCUCCCCUGAGUGCCCGGGGAGUGUGGGGGUCGGAUGAUGGCCUCCCGUGUCUUGGCUCGCGGUUGGCCCAAAGUCGAGUCCUCGGUCACGGUUACCGUGGUGACAGGUGGUUGUCGGUCGCUCGGUACCCCGUCACGUGCGCCGGACACGAAUCGAGACUCUCUUGAUUACCCCAACGCAUCCCCGUUUGGGUGCCUCUGAUGUGACCCCAGGUCAGGCGGGGCUACCCGCUGAGUUUAAGCAUAUC
rnacentral:rRNA from 1 species